rnacentral:rRNA from 1 species
UUUUUNAACGCAUGUUGCGCCCGAGGCUUGUCCCGAGGGCAUGCCUGCCUGAGCGUCACC